ACUUAAGACCAUAAGCUGUCACAGGAAAUACUGUACGGCAUUAAAUAUUUACAGACGUUAGCAAAGUCUCGAAUUGAGAUCAGCCUAUGAAAUUUGUAAAUUCCUAAAGAUGUCAUCACAGUCGGGGACCAUGAUGGAGUUUCCUUCCAUGUUAAUUACAACAGAAUCAAAGGCAGCAAAACAAACCCGUGGAAAUUAAGUGCAAAAAUGAUCGAGUACUCACCUUAAGUGGAAUUCUUUACUCAACACGUAGGAACCACCUGCUUAGACGUUAGAAAAGAAGCUUCACUGAACUGCGGCCAUACUGGGGUACGACCUUGAAGGAUUUUGCCGAAAAAUUCGACUGCAGUAAUCAUUUUUUAAGUCUGGGACUUUGCUGAACAACUUAAUAUAUUCCUGUGAUUACUGAUGCAAACAUAGUUCAAAGGGUACCAGAACUGUGAUGGAAAAGCUUUGUCCAAUUUUAUGGCUGGACUAUUAAGUAAAUAAUCGGAGACAAUGAAAGAAACUGUAGAAGAUGUAUUUAACUGCGGCUUAUUAAAAUGAUUUUAUUAAAAUAUAAGGACAGAUUUUUGUUUAUACUUGUUCCUAUCUGAAGAAGACAUUAUAGAAAAUAUAUAAAACUUUAUGAAAUGUGCAACUACAUGAAUCAG